CCUAUUGAGUGUUCUAUCAAAUGAUAGUAGAUGUAAAGCCUUUGCUUUACUUCGAGGUCAGACACGUUGAUGUAGGAA
ncrna:unclassified sequences RAGATH-18 RNA